UUUUUAUUCUUUUUAUUUUUAUUUUUAUUCUUUGGCUGGAAAAGUCGAAAGGCUUAAGCUGUAACUGAAAAUUUUUGCAAUCGAAGCACUUUUUCUUUUAUUCUCUCCUCUGCUUUUGCGGGUGUGUACUGUUUCCUUGGACAGGUGCCUACUCCUCCGGCGAAGAUCUCCAGCAACUCACGCUCAGGCUCGCGGCAGGACGCAAUAGAGCUGCACGUUCUGCUAAGCUUUAGGAAAGCUUGGGCGCCUCAAAGCACACUUUCAGGUUUUUCCAUCGGGAGUUGGUACCUCCCGCUCCCUUGUUUACAUUGUGCAUCUUUUUACGUAUCGUUUUCGUAUUUUAGUUAGCAUAUCGAGUAAGUUGUUAUCUAGUUUGCUACAUUUGCGUUUUUCGUUAUAGUGCGUGUGUGUGCCACUGUACCCCAUAUCGGUUGGUGGGAUAGUGGCCGCGGCGGGGGAUGAUAGCGUAAGGUCAUGUCCUCAGGGGGUGGG
rnacentral:lncRNA from 1 species